rnacentral:lncRNA from 1 species
AUAUGUUAGUUAUUGAAAAACAACAGGCAAUCACAAAAACAAGUUGACCUUUUUGUGUUGCUGAAGACCAGUCAUGAAGGGCUCUCAUGACUGGGCCUCAUGCCAAACAACUCAUAACGAAAAGAGCUAGGGGUCCAGACCACGCCGAAGCUUCAUGAGACCUCUCCUUAUCUGCUCACGGACGAGUGGCCGACACUGGAGCCCAGGCCGAUGCUUCCCAGUCUGGUCAUGAAUCCUCCUUAGUCUCUUUUUUUUUUCUGGAUUUCCCCUGCAAGCUGUCAACCCCAUAUAUUAUGCAGAACCGUGUGGAUGCCCAUCACAGGAAACUG